rnacentral:rRNA from 1 species
GAUGAACGCUGGCGGUAUGCCUUACACAUGCAAGUCGAACGGAAAUUAACUUCGGUUAAUUUUAGUGGCGGACGGGUGAGUAACACGUGAGAAUUUGCCUUUAGGAGGGGGAUAACUAGUGGAAACACUAGCUAAAACCCCAUAUGCCCACGGGUGAAACAGAGAAAAAGGGAAAACCGUAAUUUCUCUGCCUGAAGAGAAGCUCGCGGCUGAUUAGCUAGUUGGUAGGGUAAUGGCCUACCAAGGCGACGAUCAGUAGCUGGUCUGAGAGGACGAUCAGCCACACUGGAACUGAGACACGGUCCAGACUCCUACGGGAGGCAGCAGUGAGGAAUUUUCUGCAAUGGGCGAAAGCCUGACAGAGCAAUACCGCGUGAGGGAAGAAGGCUUACUGAGUUGUAAACCUCGGUGCCUUAAGGAAGAAGAUCUGACGGUACUUAAGGUGGAAAGCAUCGGCUAACCCCGUGCCAGCCGCCGCGGUAAGAC